ACAAAAUAAAAUGAGAAUGAAAAUUGAGAAAUGAAUCUUUUAUUGAUGAACAAAGAUGGAAAUUACAAAUCAAUCAGACGAAAUAAUGCAACGAUCUUUGGAAUGAAACACUAAAAUCACAAACCAGAAAGCUCGCUUAAAAAAACACCUCGAACUUUAACAGGAACUUGAGGGAAGAAACAAUGAAAUCCGAACUCGAAAUUCCAAUAACACAAGAUCGUCGGAACGGAUAAAGCGCAAUUUAGGAGAAGCAUAUGUAGGAUUCAACAUCAGCUCCAGGAGCUGAGAGUGAGCCUAAAUUCGACACAAUAGCUUAAUCAAAUUGCAUUAUCAUCUCAGAACCGAAAUCAGUACUCUCCAAUUUCCCAUUGAUUAACUUUCUUAUAUGAUUGGUAUUUCUCCUUCAAUUAAGUGUAAAAGCACAACUUUUGUAGAUGCAAUCAUUGAAAAAUGAUCAACCAAAGAAUAUAGUAUAUAUAACAUUCUCUUUUCCUCUGUCAAUGAAAGACUAUCGUUGGUUUUAAGAAAUUCAUGUGGGUUGACGUCUAAAAUUGGAGGAAAACGGCGUAGAUUCUUUUGGAGUCUAAGGUCUUAAGCUCUCAUUUUGUUGUAUUCUCUUUUUACUGAAGAACAACCGAUUCUCCCUUUUUGUGUUGAG
rnacentral:lncRNA from 1 species